UGCAAAGCAGAUAAGGAGCAGAACAUAUUCUUUGAACCAUGCUCCUACAAUCAUACAUGAUAAUGAGAGGCCAAUAUGCAACUGAUUGCAGCUUUCCGUAUAUCCCUCGUCUCAAGUCUCAACCAGCUAUUCCAGCUGUUAAUGUAAUGCUUUUCGUUAGUCCAGGCUCAAAAGUCCAAAGUACUUGAUAAUGAAAGCAUUUUGCAAGGGUUCUCCACAAAUUGAAUUAAUAUAAAAUUACCUGCAUAACAGAUAAAAAUGGUAGUUUAUAGAAAACUCUUUAUCAUCUGUUCUUCACUCCAUCUUUAGCUUAUGUCUCCUUUACUUUGGUGCUCCUGUACAAGAGGGGGAAAAAGAACAAGAAUAUGCCCUGUUGACAUUUGACAACAAAUUAUCAGCGAGCGUAGAUUUUGUGAAGACUGGACCAUAAAACAAAGGUUGGUCAUGGUAUACCGACAUAGAGGUGUUAUCCAUACCUAUAAUGGUUGAGCAGCAGCAGGUAUUACAUGCCAGAUAGGACAGUUUGUUACUUCCGAACCAAGGGAAACACAGUGGCAGCACUGAAGACAGAAUUAAG
rnacentral:lncRNA from 1 species